CCUGUACAUAAUGCUCUUCUGUGUAACUGUACAUAACAUUCUUCAGUGUAACUGUACAUAGCAUUCUUCUGUGUAGUUGUUCAUAACCUUCUUCUGUGUAACUGUACACAAGAGUCUUCUGUGUAACUGUACAUAGCAUUCUUCUGUUUAACUGUACAUAGCAUACUGUGUAGGGGCCCUGCGGUGUGGGUAGGCCAAACGAGGUCGGGAUCCGUCGCU